rnacentral:rRNA from 1 species
UACGGAGGAUUCAAGCGUUAUCCGGAAUCAUUGGGUUUAAAGGGUCCGUAGGCGGUUAGUUAAGUCAGUGGUGAAAGUUUGCAGCUCAACUGUAAAAUUGCCAUUGAAACUGGUUGACUUGAAUUAUUUUGGAGUAACUAGAAUGUGUAGUGUAGCGGUGAAAUGUAUAGAUAUUACACAGAAUACCGAAAGCGAAAGCAGGUUACUAGGAAUAUAUUGACGCUGAGGGACGAAAGCGUGGGGAGCGAAC